rnacentral:tRNA from 1 species
UGUAGCUCAGAGGUAGAGGACUUGCCUAACAUGCAAGAAUCGCUGGGCUAAAAUCCCAGCA